CCGCGACCCUCGUGCCUCCUCGUUCUUCGCGCUCACCAUCGCCUCCCGCCUCCCACCGCGGGGAGCAGAAGUGGCGGCGGCCCUCCCUCCCCUUCAUAUGCGGCGGCAUAGGGGGACAUGGCCGCGGCCGGAGCAGCGGCGUGCGGCCAGCGGGCGGGCAGCUGCCGGCGGUCGCGGCGGCUGGCUCCCAUACUGCCCCAUCGAGGACGCCCCCCUUCACGGGUUGCGCGGCGCGCGCGGCGAGGGCCAACCCCAUGCGGCGCGAGGCACGUCCAGGUGCCCUAGCACGCGGGGGCAGCGAGCGGCGUGCGACACACGGGCGCAAGGAGUAGGGCGGCACGCGGAUGGUCUAGGCGCGGCCCCGUCCCGCUGCUACCUGGGCCGUGAAUGCUUGUAGACAAUCCUGAUGACCUGAUCUAGUUUUUCCCCUCCUUCAAAUCGACAAUCUCUUGCAGUGGGGAUCAUGACGCGAAUGGCGGCAUCCACUCUAGGCAUCGAAGCUUCCUCACACUCACCUGAGCUGUCGAAUCCUUGGGGGAUUCCUCUCCAUAGGCAUAAGGUGUCCGAUCGAGUUGGAUUUCACCUCCAAUAAUUGUUCCUGGUGAAUGCUAAACAAUCUAGGCAUCACAGUUUGGCCAGUGCUAGAUCUAAAUCUCAGCCUUGACUUUGGUUCGAUGUAAGGUUGCAUUGAAGCAUUGAUCUACCAGGGGAAGAGGUUCCAUUGAAUCGAGGAUGCCUGCAAUGGCAUAGGGAACCACCGGCAUGCUCCACUCUCAUGGACAGAACUGACACCGUACCACCGUACAAGCACGCAGGUGAAGGUGCAUACCCCGCAUCCCUACAUCGCCGCUUUGUCCCCAGCUUGAUUCAUCCAGAUAGAUCUUGCUGGUUGCUGCAAUCGAGAUCGAGUACACAUGCAGGUCCGUCAAACAACCAAGAAUUCAUCUUUUUUUUACUGCAAUAUCGAUAAGUAAUAAUAACAGAAAGGUGGAUUAUUUCUUUUCAUGUGAAAGCAAGUUGAGCCCAGAUCUCAUUUGGCGUUGCAGCUUGCUGUUUCUGCAUUGGGCGUUGUUGGUGCAGUAAUGAACCUAACCGCUGGUGCUGGUCCCAUGGUGUGGAUAUCUAUCAUCUGGGAAGAUUGGCUAGAGCAUCUUGUGUUGUGCUUCCUUCUGUUUAGGUGCCAUGGUGCUCCUCGACAAGAUUGGCUAGGCAUCAGAGGUGAACUCUAUUCUUUUUGUUGAGGCAAAGUUGGGAUCUUGAGCUGGAUCUUUAGCCCUGCUAUUUGCAGAACCUUUGAUUUGUAAAACAACUGCUGUUGGAUUAUGUUAGCUAGUGGUUAGGAUUUCUCCAAAUGAUAGCAUAUCCUCUUUUUUAGUAUGUGAUUCCAUCUUGCACGGCCAUCUGUUACUCGGGUAUGGUAUGUCUCCCAUUAAACUGAAUUUUCAUUUGACAUGCCAUGGCCUCAACGUAGUGAUAGAAUACCUCUGUAAUAUACUUGCUGUGCACACAGCACAGCCUUGCCAACUUGAGAUAGUUAAGUUCCUUAUUAAUGCUACUAAAGUAUUUGAAAUGCA